rnacentral:rRNA from 1 species
AGAGUUUGAUCCUGGCUCAGGACGAACGCUUGCGGCGUGCCUAAGAAAUGCAAGUCGAACGGGGGCUUCGGCCCUAGUGGCGAACGGUCGCGUAACACGUGGGCAACCUGCCCUGAAGCGGGGGACAACAGUCCGAAAGGACUGCUAAUACCGCAUGUGGUUGCGAGAGGCAUCUCUCGUACCUAAAGACUUCGGUCACU